CAUGCAAGUCGAACGGUGUCUUCGGACAUAGUGGCGGACGGGUGAGUAACGCGUGAGAAUCUGGCUUAAGGACGGGGACAACCACUGGAAACGGUGGCUAAGACCCGAUAUGCCGAGAGGUGAAAGUAUUUUUAGCCUUGAGGGGAGCUCGCGUCUGAUUAGCUAGUUGGUGGGGUAAGAGCCUACCAAGGCGACGAUCAGUAGCUGGUCUGAGAGGAUGAUCAGCCACACUGGGACUGAGACACGGCCCAGACUCCUACGGGAGGCAGCAGUGGGGAAUUUUCCGCAAUGGGCGAAAGCCUGACGGAGCAAUACCGCGUGGGGGAGGAAGGCUCUUGGGUUGUAAACUCCUUUUCUCAGGGAAGAAAAAAAUGACGGUACCUGAGGAAUCAGCAUCGGCUAACUCCGUGCCAGCAGCCGCGGUAAUACGGAGGAUGCAAGCGUUAUCCGGAAUCAUUGGGCGUAAAGCGUCCGCAGGUGGCACUUCAAGUCUGCUGUCAAAGGUCGGGGCUUAACUCCGAACAGGCAGUGGAAACUGAAGCGCUCGAGUGCGGUAGGGGCAGAGGGAAUUCCUGGUGUAGCGGUGAAAUGCGUAGAGAUCAAGAAGAACACCGGUGGCGAAAGCGCUCUGCUAGGCCGCAACUGACACUCAGGGACGAAAGCUAGGGGAGCGAAUGGGAUUAGAUACCCCAGUAGUCCUAGCUGUAAACGAUGGAUACUAGGCGUUGCUUGUAUCGACCCAAGCAGUGCCGUAGCUAACGCGUUAAGUAUCCCGCCUGGGGAGUACGCACGCAAGUGUGAAACUCAAAGGAAUUGACGCGGGGCCCGCACAAGCGGUGGAGUAUGUGUUUAAUUCCAUGCACCGCGAAGAACCUUACCUGGGUUUGGACAUGUCCGGAACCCCUGCUGAAAGGCGGGGGUGCCUUCCGCAACCGGAACACCAGGUGGAGCAUGGCUGUCGUCCGACCGUGUCUUGAGAUGUU
rnacentral:rRNA from 1 species